CCUACGGGAGGCAGCAGUAGGGAAUAUUGCUCAAUGGGGGAAACCCUGAAGCAGCAACGCCGCGUGGAGGAUGAAGGUUUUCGGAUUGUUAACUCCUUUUGUUAGAGAAGAUAAUGACGGUAUCUAACGAAUAAGCACCGGCUAACUCCGUGCCAGCAGCCGCGGUAAUACGGAGGGUGCAAGCGUUACUCGGAAUCACUGGGCGUAAAGAGCGCGUAGGCGGGAUAGCAAGUCAGAUGUGAAAUCCUAUGGCUUAACCAUAGCACUGCAUUUGAAACUGUUAUUCUAGAGUAUGGGAGAGGUAGGUGGAAUGCUUGGUGUAGGGGUAAAAUCCGUAGAGAUCAAGAGGAAUACUCAUUGCGAAGGCGACCUGCUAGAACAUAACUGACGCUGAUGCGCGAAAGCGUGGGGAGCAAACAGGAUUAGAUACCCCGGUAGUC
rnacentral:rRNA from 1 species